rnacentral:rRNA from 1 species
AGAGCGAACGCUGGCGGCAGGCUUAACACAUGCAAGUCGAGCGGGCGUAGCAAUACGUCAGCGGCAGACGGGUGAGUAACGCGUGGGAACGUACCUUUUGGUUCGGAACAACCCAGGGAAACUUGGGCUAAUACCGGAUAAGCCCUUACGGGGAAAGAUUUAUCGCCGAAAGAUCGGCCCGCGUCUGAUUAGCUAGUUGGUGAGGUAAUGGCUCACCAAGGCGACGAUCAGUAGCUGGUCUGAGAGGAUGAUCAGCCACAUUGGGACUGAGACACGGCCCAAACUCCUACGGGAGGCAGCAGUGGGGAAUAUUGGACAAUGGGCGCAAGCCUGAUCCAGCCAUGCCGCGUGAGUGAUGAAGGCCCUAGGGUUGUAAAGCCCUUUCGGCGGGGAAGAUAAUGACGGUACCCGCAGAAGAAGCCCCGGCUAACUUCGCGCCAGCAGCCGC